AAAUGGGGAGCGGAACAACUGCAAUGGCCGUGAGAGCAGCACACACAACUCCUUCUGAAUGUGUGUGUGUGUGAGGCAGAGAGCGCGCUUCACACCGUGAGCGAGAGAGCGCCAAGCUGUGCAGUGGGACAAUGUGCAGUGUGACAGGUGUUUGUGUGUGGGGGCCGGUCUGGCUCACCAACUGUCUCGCUCUCACGCUCGCCGCUCUCUUUGUAGCUGUUGUAGUUGUGGCUGUGCAUUGUGUGCAGCUGGUCAAACGACUGUGGGGGUGAGAAUGUCGCCAGUGCGUUGGUGUUAGCGACGCUGUUGACGUCGCUGCCGUUUAAAUCAAGGUUAUUUAUUGAAAUUGAAAAUGAAGCGCAGCCCCAAAGCCAAGGCAGCGCAAAAGUUUUGUUCGUUGUUCUUACUGUUGUUGUUUGCAAAAUCGCCGUUGCAUCGAAAUACGCAAAUUUACAAACGCAUUUUUAAUUCUUUUACUUUUGCCGCGUCGCGUCGUGUUGUGAAAAAAAAGAACAUGCUUAAGCCCAAUUGUUGAAUGCGCUGCGCUGCGACGUCGCUGCGCUGCGUUUUCGACUGGAAUGGGGAGUUAGCGGUUCAUCGUUUCGUUUCGCACGUGACAAAGUCGUUUGUGUAUGCGUGUGUGCGCGUUUCGUGAGUGCGUGUGUGUGUGUGUUAGUCAAACGUUGACAAUUAUGAGCGCCUUUGUUGAAGGCGCUCAAAGCUGUGGAGAAUGCAAUUCAAUACAAUGAUGAUAAUAAGUUUUUCUACUCGACUAUUCAUAAAAGAAAAAUUUGCUGCUGCUCAGGUGCGAUUAUAAUCAAAGCUUCAAGGAUUUGCCGUCAAAGUCUCGAACUUCUCAAUUAAACGAAUGCAUAAAUCAUUGGCCCAUUGGCACGUCUGCAGAUAAUUCCCAAAAGUCCCCAAACGAUGAGCAUUAGAGUGCGAAAAUACACAGAGAGCGAGAGAGAAGAGGAAAAUCAAAGACGUCCAGCCAAGGACUAAGGACUAAGGACGACACACACUCAUAAAUCUGUGGGAAAUGUUGCUAAUUAAAAAAAUACGCAUAUUCCAUCAUCAUUUCGUCUAGAUGAAGAAGAAGGAGAGAGAAGAGAAAACUUCUGGAGUCCGAACUGUUCGACGUUUAUCUACACUGGGAAAAGUCUGCAUCAAUCAAUACGUAUACGCAAUGAAAUAUACAUGGAUGAAUGCAUUAGAUGGAUAAGAGGACAGAGAUGAACACGGAAUUUGCGGGGGUUGAGGUCAGAGUUCAAACUUCAAGCUCGUUGCUUAAACUUUUCAAACUCAAACUGAAACUCGGACAUGAACGAGGACGUGGACAUAGAUGAGAAUGUUGUAGAAGGAUGAAGGACGAUGGACGAUGCCACGACGUACAACAUAUAGCGCAUCAGUCAAAAAUUGUUCUUGCUUGUCAUCAGAGACGUGCCACGUCCGCGCAUCUCCUUUGCCGUUGCUCCGCAGGAAGCAGGAAAAAGCAGUUGGAAAACGGCAUGAGGAAAUGUUGCCAAGCACGAAAGAAACUUUGAUGCUGACCACAAGAUAGGCAAAUCAAUCUGCCAGCAAUGUGACUACUGAAUGCUCUACGGAAAACAAAGCUGGAAUUAUAAAAUGGGAUUCAAUUUGAGCUGUCGAGUGCUCUGUGGCCAUUCAGCUGUGUGGCAACUACCAUAAAUGAAUAAAAUGUCGUGGCUGGCCUCAGCUUCAGCCUCAGCCGGCUUUAAUUGAGUUCCACUGUGCGGGGGCAACGCAGUUCAGGUUGUGCACAGCUACUAAAAGAGAGGCAGAGAGGAGCAGAGAGAACCCGGCAGCAGCGACAGCAGCAUCGUCCACAGGCGAAAGACUGGCGACGUUGACGGUGACGCUGAAGCUUGUCACUUGUCAGUUGUUUGUCAUCUGACAUACAUAUGUCAGUGAUAUAUCAUCGAGCAAAUGGCCAAGCCAAGGCAUCGCAUAAACGAGAGAACGAAACGAGGCAGGAGGCAAUAGGCAGAAGGCAGGCAGCAUCAUGGAUCAAGUGCCACUUCCGCUCGAGUUGUGUCGCCAACAUUCGGAAUUGAAGCUUCAAUCGAUACAGUUUUUGGAAUUAGAUGUAAACACGUGCCUCGCCCAUUCGUCUCCCAAACAGAAACACACGCUGUCUAUCUGUUCGUUGGCACUUAUGACGUCCAUUGAAUGACGACGAAUGCAAAAAACGUCACGUAAUUUUGAUUGACGAAACACAAGCGAAACAAAAGCAAAACUCCAAAACUAAGUUUUCCUGCCACUGACAAAUCGCCGUGGCGAGCGCAAAAACUUUUGCCACACACAUCAGAGCACAGCACACAGGACGAUGAAGGAUUCGCAUUCAUUUGGUACGUGCGCAGGACGCGCAUUUGUGUGUGAUAUAUUUCGGGAACACUUCGAUGCUGACGUUACGGGAGAGUUUUGAUUCGAGUUCCCAGCGACUAGUUUUUUUUUAUUUUUAUUUUUCUACUUCUUCUGCGGAAAUUGAAAUUGGCUGGCACAAAGUGAAGGCGGAUCGAUUGCACUGAGGCGCUGAGCUGAUCAAAGUCAACGGCUUCAAACUCGAAACACACACACACUCAGAGGAAAGAUACAAAGAUACAGAUACUCUGUGAGCUUGCGAGUUUUCUGUCAAGGAAUCAAUUGAGUGCGUCCAUCAAAAACUGUGAGAUCUCAGGACCCAAAAGGACAUCUGUAAAAAGCCAGAAAAGGAUUAUAAAUAAGCUUAUAUUAUAAAUAUAUUUCUUACUAAAGCUUUGUGUUCUAAAUAUUUAUGAAACCUUAAUUUGAAUGUAAAUGAAAUCUUUAAUUGAAAUAUUUUUAAAAUCCUUAAAAUUCUUGAA